rnacentral:misc_RNA from 1 species
GUUAGUUUCACUGUGUCUUGUUUA